rnacentral:lncRNA from 1 species
UUGAAAGUUGAAAUUUGAAAGUUGAAAUUUGAAAGUUGAAAUUUGAACUUUUUGAAAGUUGAAAUUUGAAAGUUGAAAUUUGAAAUUUGAAAUUUGAACUUUUUGAAACUUUAAAAUUUGAAAUUUGAAAUUUGAAGUUUGAUGUUUGAAAUUUGAAAUUUGAACUUUUUAAAAUUUAAAAUUUGAAAGUAAAUUUGAAAUUUGAAAGUUGAAAUUUGAAAUUCCCAAAAUGAUAGAAUUUUUUCCUUUGGUUAAAGUAGAUUGUAAGUUUACUCUAUUUUUUGGAGUAUAGUAUAACUAUACUUCAAAAAUUACAUUAAAUUUUUUUCUUCCAAAUGUUUCAUAGGAUUAUUUUCCUACCAGCGUAGCAUAAUUUGCUACGUUUUUAGAGGUAUCCAAACGGAGCCUUAACAAAUUUUAUAAGUAACUAUAAAAGCCCAAUUUAAGAAACAGUUAAAAGAAUGUCAAUAAAAAAAACAGUUGAUAGGUUUAUUUCCGGGCAUUUUAAAUUAUAGGCCAAUUUGCAUAAAAAAUUUACAAGUUUUGAGUUUUUGCAAAACUAAGCCGCCUUUUUCGAUCUUACAGAUUUGGUCUGAAUUUUUAGCAAAUUGACAAAAAUACCUUUAUUUUUUUUUUCUCUCGUUCUUUUUAUUUUCUCUCCGAAGAGGCAGCGGAGGCGGAGGUGGCCCGCCUCUACCUCGUGCACUCUCGCCUUUGACCGCACCCGCACUCUCCGCCCU